rnacentral:pre_miRNA from 1 species
UGUGAAGGUGGGGAGGGUCAGCUGGUGUUGUGAAUCAGGCCGCUGACACUACCAGACACGGCUUCUUCACAACACCAGGGUUCCUCCCAACCAC